GAUCUCUUUUAUAUAGUCUACCCGACGAGUAAUGUUUUUAUGUCCUCUCCUUGUGAUCACAUCAUGUCUUCCAAAAACAUAAAUGACAGAAUCCUUAGUGAUUUUGUUGGUUUUGCUUUUCCAUGGACAUCAGUUGGCAUUUUCAACAAUAAAUCAUUGUCCUGGAAUAAGAAUUUACAGACUAGGGAUGCAUCACAACGGUUGACCGCAGAGAGCUAGCCACUGAUAGACCUGCUGGAGUUAAAAGCAGAUAAACUCAAACUAGUUCAUUCUUACCUACCGUAAGAGAAAGACCUUCACCCCUCCACUCUUUCUCUCUUUCAGCAGAGCCUCACAAUCCUCCUCCUCCAGCCUCCUGACUCCUGGCUGCUGCUAUCUCAAGCACACACCACAGAUUGGACAGUGCGUUUUCCUUUCUAAUAUGAUGUUUGUCCUGAGGGAGACGCCUAUCAAUGCUUUUUGCUUAAAAAGAAAAAAAACCAAGUGAAGUAUAAGUGGCAGAAAAACGUACACUAGUUUAAUGCACUUAUCUUGCAAGAGACAGCCUAGGCUAAGGGAGGCAACAUGACUUUCUCCAUCUCAUGCAGAGUCAUUAAAACUUCCAUUAAAUAGAACCUACUAUCCAUACUUAAACCAACUGGUUGCCUUUGCCUGCCUCCUGGUACUUCACAUCAAGCAGAGAACUUCUUACAGCUGUAUUUGAGGAAAGAAACACAGUUUAAGGAAGAAAGAAAGAAAG
rnacentral:lncRNA from 1 species